rnacentral:rRNA from 1 species
UACAGAGGGGGCAAGCGUUAUUCGGAAUUAUUGGGCGUAAAGGGCGCGUAGGCGGCUUGGCAAGUGGAAGGUGAAAUCCCUCGGCUUAACCGAGGAACUGCCUUCCAGACUGCUUUGCUUGAGGCCGGGAGAGGCGAGUGGAAUUCCCAGUGUAGCGGUGAAAUGCGUAGAUAUUGGGAGGAACACCAAUUGCGAAGGCAGCUCGCUGGGACGUGACUGACGCUGAGACGCGAAAGCGUGGGGAGCAAACAGG